rnacentral:tRNA from 1 species
GGGCCCGUAGCUCAACGGCAGAGCGGCACCCUCAUAAGGUGUGGGUUCCUGGUUCGAGCCCAGGCGGGCCCACCA